rnacentral:rRNA from 1 species
AUCUUCGGGAUUUGCAGUAUCGUAGAGAAGUCGUUAAGCUCGCCGCCUGGGAAGUACGGCCGCAAGACUGAAACUUAAAGGAAUUGGCGGGGGAGCACCACAAGGGGUGCGGCGUGCGGUUUAAUCGAAUUCAACGCCGAGAAUCUCACCAGAUGCGACGGUAGGAUGAAAGACAGUCUAAAGGGCUUUCUUGACGAGCCGAGAGGUAGUGCAUGGCCGCCGUCAGCUCGUAUCGUGAGAUGUCCUGUUAAGUCAGGUAACGAGCAAGACCUGCACCUAUAAUUGCUAGCAGCUGUUAUACAGGACUGAGCACAUUAUAGGAACUGCCUUGGAAACAAGGAGGAAGGUGCAGGCAACGGUAGGUCUGUAUGCUCCGAAUCUUCUGGGCUACACGCGCGCAACAAUGGUCAGGACAAUGGGAUACAACUCCGAAAGGAGAAGUUAAACCUCCAAACCUGAUCUAAGUCUAGAUUGAGGAUUGUAACUCAUCCUCAUGACAACGGAAUCCCUAGUAAUCGGUCUUCAUCAUGGACCAGUGAAUAUGUCCCUGCUCCUUGCACACACCGCCCGUCAAACCAACCGAGCAUAGCUAAAGUGAGCCUUAGUUUCUUGAUUAAGUCAAACUUGAGUUAAGUAAGGUGGGUUAAGUCGUAACAAGGUAGCC